rnacentral:rRNA from 1 species
AGUGAACGCUGGCGGUAGGCCUAACACAUGCAAGUUGAACGGCAGCACAGUAAGAGCUUGCUCUUACGGGUGGCGAGUGGCGGACGGGUGAGGAAUACAUCGGAAUCUACUUUUUCGUGGGGGAUAACGUAGGGAAACUUACGCUAAUACCGCAUACGACCUACGGGUGAAAGCAGGGGAUCUUCGGACCUUGCGCGAUUGAAUGAGCCGAUGUCGGAUUAGCUAGUUGGCGGGGUAAAGGUCCACCAAGGCGACGAUCCGUAGCUGGUCUGAGAGGAUGAUCAGCCACACUGGAACUGAGACACGGUCCAGACUCCUACGGGAGGCAGCAGUGGGGAAUAUUGGACAAUGGGCGCAAGCCUGAUCCAGCCAUACCGCGUGGGUGAAGAAGGCCUUCGGGUUGUAAAGCCCUUUUGUUGGGAAAGAAAAGCAGCAGGUUAAUACCCCGCUGUUCUGACGGUACCCAAAGAAUAAGCACCGGCUAACUUCGUG